rnacentral:rRNA from 1 species
UCGAUUACGCGUGCGGCAUCCUUACACUUACAAGCGAACGGCAGCAUGAUCUAGCUUGCUAGAUUGAUGGCGAGUGAGGGUAGAAUACAUCGGAACGUGCCCUGUAGUGGGGGAUACUAGUCGAAAGAUUAGCUAAUACCGCAUACGACCUGAGGGUGAAAGUGGGGGACCGAAAUGCCUCAUGCUAUAUGAGCGGCCGAUGUCUGAUUAGCUAGUUGGUGAGGUAAAGGCUCACCAAUGCGACGAUCGGUAGCUGGUCUGAGAGGACGAUCAGCCACACUGGGACUUGAAGACACGGCCCAGACCUCCUACGGGAGGCAGCAGUGGGGAAUUUUGGACAAUGGGGCGAAAGCCUGAUCCAGCAAUGCCGCGGUGUGUUAAGAAGCUUCGGUGUAAAGCCUUUGUCGGAAGAAUGGUCUGUAAACUGGUCAUAC